GCCUGAUCCAGCCAUGCCGCGUGCAUGAAGACUGCCCUAUGGGUUGUAAACUGCUUUUACAGAGGAAAAACCACCCCCACGUGUGGGGGUUUGACGGUACUCUGCGAAUAAAGAUCGGCUAACUCCGUGCCAGCAGCCGCGGUAAUACAAUCA
rnacentral:rRNA from 1 species